GACGAACGCUGGCGGCGUGCCUAAUACAUGCAAGUUGAGCGCUGAAGGUUGGUACUUGUACCAACUGGAUGAGCAGCGAACGGGUGAGUAACGCGUGGGGAAUCUGCCUUUGAGCGGGGGGCAACAUUUGGAAACGAAUGCUAAUACCGCAUAAAAACUUUAAACACAAGUUUUAAGUUUGAAAGAUGCAAUUGCAUCACUCAAAGAUGAUCCCGCGUUGUAUUAGCUAGUUGGUGAGGUAAAGGCUCACCAAGGCGAUGAUACAUAGCCGACCUGAGAGGGUGAUCGGCCACAUUGGGACUGAGACACGGCCCAAACUCCUACGGGAGGCAGCAGUAGGGAAUCUUCGGCAAUGGACGAAAGUCUGACCGAGCAACGCCGCGUGAGUGAAGAAGGUUUUCGGAUCGUAAAACUCUGUUGGUAGAGAAGAACGUUGGUGAGAGUGGAAAGCUCAUCAAGUGACGGUAACUACCCAGAAAGGGACGGCUAACUACGU
rnacentral:rRNA from 1 species